CCUACGGGGUGCAGCAGUGAGGAAUAUUGGUCAAUGGGCGCGAGCCUGAACCAGCCAAGUAGCGUGAAGGAUGACUGCCCUACGGGUUGUAAACUUCUUUUAUACAGGAAUAAAGUGAGGCACGUGUGCCUUGUUGUAUGUACUUUAUGAAUAAGGAUCGGCUAACUCCGUGCCAGCAGCCGCGGUAAUACGGAGGAUCCGAGCGUUAUCCGGAUUUAUUGGGUUUAAAGGGAGCGUAGGUGGGUUGUUAAGUUAGUUGUGAAAGUCUGCGGCUCAACCGUAAAAUUGCAAUUGAUACUGGCAGUCUUGAGUACAGUUGAGGUAGGCGGAAUGUGUGGUGUAGCGGUGAAAUGCUUAGAGAUCACAAAGAACACCGAUUGCGAAGGCAGCUUACUAAACUGCCACUGACAUUGAUGCUCGAAAGUGUGGGUAGCAAACAGGAUUAGAUACCCGAGUAGUC
rnacentral:rRNA from 1 species